rnacentral:rRNA from 1 species
GCUUGUUGGCGGGGUAAUGGCCCACCAAGGCGACGAUCCAUAGCUGGUCUGAGAGGACGAUCAGCCACACUGGGACUGAGACACGGCCCAGACUCCUACGGGAGGCAGCAGUGGGGAAUCUUGCGCAAUGGGCGAAAGCCUGACGCAGCGACGCCGCGUGGGGGAAGAAGGCCUUCGGGUUGUAAACCUCUUUCAGGCGGGACGAAGCCACUCGGGUUAAUAGCCCAGAGGGUGACGGUACCGCCAGAAGAAGCCCCGGCUAACUACGUGCCAGCAGCCGCGGUAAUACGUAGGGGGCAAGCGUUGUCCGGAUUUAUUGGGCGUAAAGAGCGUGUAGGCGGCCAGGUAGGUCGGUUGUGAAAACUGGAGGCUCAACCUUCAGACGUCGACCGAAACCCCCUGGCUAGAGUCCGGAAGAGGAGAAUGGAAUUCCUGGUGUAGCGGUGAAAUGCGCAGAUAUCAGGAAGAACACCCGUGGCGAAAGCGGUUCUCUGGGACGGUACUGACGCUGAGACGCGAAAGCGUGGGGAGCGAACAGGAUUAGAUACCCUGGUAGUCCACGCCGUAACGAUGGGUGCUAGGUGUGGGGGGUGUCGACUCCCCCCGU